GAUUCCACUUAUUCUGACAUAUUCAAGGAAGUGUUUUUAGAGAGCAGUUCCAAAUACGAAAUAUCUUUACAAGUGCGGAAAUGAGGUUGGGUUCCUCGUCCGGGUUGAUGCUAUUUAACUAAACCAAUGUCAAAACUUUAUUAGACGACUGGAAAGGAUGUGUAUUGAAAGAAUGGUUUGGUCUUUGAACUAUUUAUUAUUAUCAGCUAGAUUUCCAAAGCUAGAACAUUGAAAUUAAGGAAAAUCAACAUUUUGCAUUGUGUUUGUGUGACUGUUCACUGCCAGAGGGACGGGAUUUUCAUCGUCAUGACACCUAGAAGUGGAUUCCACCUACACUAAGGAAGUUCUUUCGAAGGAAAACAAAAAUGAAAGAAGAGGAAAUGAGAAGAGUGUAUCUUCCGUAUCAUGGUGAUGAUGGUGUAGACUUAUAGUGCACACUGGCCAGUAGGGACCCUACACAGUGUCAUCAGGCACAGAGUAUCCUUUUAAGUUUAGCUUUAGUUUUGCAUGUUUUCAGUUGAUUUGCUUUGAAUAGUUUUAUUUUCAUAUUGCCGGAAAUAGGAACACUUGAGAACUUAUAUGGCCGAAUGUAACGGGCAUAUCAUGGCGCUUUAGAUGUUACUUUUCUUCCUGCAUAAUGACAUUUAUUUUAUUCAUAGCGCCUUCGCAAAUUUCUAUACAGGGCGCCUUAGAAAUGAAUGAUUGUAUUUUAGAUGUAAUCUUUAACCAUUGUAUCAAUUCAAUUUUACUUCUUUAUAGUUACCAAGAGAAGUACAUGUAUGCGCUUGGUUGUCAUCGAAGGUGUGACAUCUGUAAAGUAAUCACGAUGCAGAUGUUUUGUGAAGAAAUAAAAAUCUGUCAAAAUGCAUAGUCGGAUAUCCACGGUUGAUUACGCUUCGUUCUUCUCUACAUCAUUGGUCCAUUCAUGACAAAUCAUUCGUUCUCGUGCAAAAUGAUUUAAAUUUACCGUCCAAUCAAAUUUAUCGAUAUACAUGUAGGAACGAAGCUCCUCUAAUUUUAAAGGUAGCAUUAGUUUAACCUCGCUUUCACAGCAAUAUAUUGUAACGACAGUCCGUAGAAAAGGACUUACGGAUUCGAAAACAAAAAUCGUUUUGGUCUUGAGUGGCCGAUACAAUUAUCUCAUUAUGAAUACGAACGAAAUGGUAUAAAUGGACCCACGAAUGAUGGAGACAGGAACAACGCGUUAUCAAUGUUGAUAUCCGGGGAUGUUAUAAUGCUGACCAGAUUGAUACAUCAAUCAAGUUUAUGAAUAAAUAAUUCAACAUUCAUACUUUUGUUAUUAUGAAUGAUUCUGUGGGGAUCUAUUGUCAAUGGCAACCUUUUAUCACAUAUCAUUACUAGAUGUAAAGUAAGCGUGACAUGUUUCUAUAAAUAUAUGACAGUAAACAUCAGGCACGCAUGCGAUCGAUUCGAAUGACUUUUGUAAAGACUAAAAUGCUACGAUUGACCAUAGAUCGAUUUGAAUGACCACUUUUAUAUUUAAAGAAAGCCAUUGACCACAGGUCUCUUAUAAAUAGGAACGGUAAAAUUUGUGCAACAUGUGUUGGGUAUCUUGAUUUCGCGCCAAUCGGUUAUUUUCGUGAUGUUUGCUAGAUAAAGUUAGGGGCAUGAUAUCCACAUAACGCGUAAAUGCAAUAGGUAAAUACACAACACAUAAGAAACAACACAUACACACAAAACAUGUAGGGGCCAGGUAUAGGACAUGUGGAGAUUAGUGUUUCUUUUCAUGAGAAACUUUUAAGAAGGAUGAUAUUGUAUGAGAUAUAUAAGGAAAUAUGUGUUUGCGAAUUCCGCUUUGCACACACAUAUAUAUAUAUACUAAUACUUUUUAUUAUACCCCCCGCAACAAGUUGUGGGGGGUAUACUGGAAUCGGGUUGUCCGUCUGUCUGUCCGUCUGUAGACGCAAUGGUUUCCGGGCUCUAAAGCAUUAUCCUUUCCACCUACAGUCACCAUAUCAUAUAUAUGGACUACCCAUGGGAUGAAGAUGUUCCCUAUCGAUUUUGGGGUCAAAAGGUCAAUGGUCAAGCGCACGGGACAUCGAAGUAGCAAUAUGGUUUCCGGGCUCUAAAGCGUUAUCCUUUCCACCUACAGUCACCAUAUCAUACAUAUGGACUACCCAUGGGAUGAAAAUAUUCCCUAUCAAGUUUGGGGUCAAAAGGUCAAAGGUCACGCGCAUGGGACAUCGAAGUAGCAAUAUGGUUUCCGGGCUCUAAAGCGUUAUCCUUUCCACCUACAAUCACCAUAUCAUACAUAUGGACUACCCAUGGGAUGAAGAUGUUCCCUAUCGGUUUUGGGGUCAAAAGGUCAAAGGUCAUGCGCACUGUACAUCGAAGUAGCAAUAUGGUUCGGUUUGUCAUGCCAUUUGUUUUUUACACUCAGAAAAGAGUUAGUUUAUACCUAUUACCAACACCCUUUGGGAGAUUGGGGUAAGCGGGGGGUAUUCUUAGUGAGCAUUACUCACAGUACCUCUUGUUCAAUCAGUGAUAUUCAAUGGUUGUAUACUGUGGUUUCAUCAAUAUUCACCAAAAACCAAUUUUCUUCGUUUUUGAUUACAGUAUCUAGUCAAAACAGAAAAUAGUGGUAAUAAAGUGAUAAUUCCCUUUAAUAUCAAAUAUGAUUUUUCUUUAAAAUACUUACACAUUUAUUUACAAAUAAAAUUAUUAUUCUGGCAUAACAAAGGUGAUUGAUAUCAAUAAAAUGAAAUGAAACUACAGUAUACGAUGAUACUUGCACAUUAUUUUUGGUCACCUGAGUCUUUCAGGUGACCUAUUGCAAUUGGUCUGCGUCCGUCGUGUGUUAACAAUUGAACAUUUUUAACUUCUUCGUAACUGCCAAUCUAAUUCUUUUCAAAUUUAGUAUGAGGCAUUUUUUAGAUAAGGCGGACAUAAGUUGUAAAUGACAUGACUCCUGUACCCCUCGGGCCUUAGGGGCGACGGGGCAAAAACUUCCAAAAGUUUGUAAAUUGUAAAUUUCAUGAUCUCAGGGGGAGGGGAUUUCGUAUCAGGUUGGGGCAAAAAUGGUCAGUGAUUAAAUGUGUUGACAACUGAACAUUUUGACAUUCUUCUUGAAAAUUACCAUUGUAAUUCUUUUCAAAGUUUGAAUAAAGCGCAUUUGGGACAAGGGUGACAUAAAUUGUAAACUUCGGGACUCCUGUACCCAUGGGGCCUAAACUGUCAAAAAUUUACCAAUUUUCAAAACUCUUUUUCUCUGCAACUGCAUUAUUUUAAGACAAAUUGAAUAAAUAGUGAUGUGGAACAAGAAGGCUUGUACUAAUAUUGUAAAUUUCACAAUCACUGGGGUAGAUGUUCUGACUUCAUGGUGGGGCGAAACUUGGUAAAUAUAGUGUAUAUUUGUCAAACAUUUACAUUUUAUCUUCUGUAAUGCUAUUGGUAUUAAAUUGAAAUAAAUAUUUCGAUGGAGUGGGUAGUCAUUUACUAAAAUUGUAAAUUUCAUGAUCCCUGGAAGUAAAUGUUUUGAUUCCACUCUGUGUGGGACCAAACUUAUACAGUGAUUAUUGUCUUUAUCAUUUGAAAGACUUUUUUUGUAAGUUUGCUGAUGCAGUAUAAAAACUAAAUGCAUAUUUAGGAAAAAGAAAAUCAAAAUUAGUCAUACCGUGUUAACGUUACAUAUUUGAUAUGAUGUAAAUAAAGUUUUUCAUCAGUUUAGGCACUUUCGGGGGGCAUUUAAGUUUUUUGUAAUGCAUCUUGUUUUAUACUGUUGCUGACUAUUAGAAUGUAGCUUAGAUAUUCAGAACAGGAUUAGUUUUCUAGAUUCAUAGUCCUAAUAAUCAGAUGACCGAUAAGGCCUGUGGAAUUCCUGUUUUAUACAGUGACCUAUGUGUUAUACAUUUGAUAUGACAUCGUAUAACUGGUCUUGCAUUUCUAUAAGAGUUCCAAGUAAUCUUUUUUGAUAAAGAAUGUUAAUAGAACACUUUGAAAUCAGCAAUGCACGAGGCAAAAAGAGAGCAAAAGAAAAUUAAAAGCAUCAACAGUUAUACGUUAAAAUGGCAUGUUGUCCAAAACUAACGGUUGCACGGUGUCUUCUUAAUUGUUAUAUUUUACAGAUGGGGACGACUGAUAGUAAGUAUUGGUAUACAUAUACCUCUUACAUGUAAGAGCUGGUCACAUACUACAUAAUCACGUGUUUUCUGCACAAAUGCGUCUACUUUCCAAAGGAUUAAACUUGAUUCAAGAAAUGUCUUUCGGAUUUUGAGAUGAUAUACGCUAUACUUUAGCGCUCAAUUCAAUGUGACAUUGCGUAUAGCCUCAAGGUAUAUCAUUCAUUUUGAAAUCCGAAAGACAUUUAUAUUUAAAAUUUCUACUGUAUUUUCCUUGUUACAUGUACAUACAAUGUUAUGUCGUAAUGUUAACUGCACUUUGCGUUGCUAACUCGCAUUGUUAAAACAAAAACAAUCGCGUUUCACCGUUUCUAUUGUGACAUCAUAAUCAAUAACGUUGAAAAUACCACGUUUUCAUUGUGAAAUACCGGCUCGAUUGAUACCAGUUGCUGGUUUUUUGUUGUUGUUUUUUUGUUUUUAUUUCUGGCGCAAACAUGAAAGUAUAUGAGAAAAUAACCCUCGGUUUGAAUUGAUAACAAUAUCAAGGAAAAUACAGAAGGAAUGUAAAUAUUGCAUUUUGCUUACAACCACAUAACAAUGUCAAGUAUGUAUUGAAUAACGAAUGUUUAUACUUCUAAUGUGUGGAUGCCUUUUCUUACGUUAGAUAAAGCUUAUCAUUGUUAAAUAAUGACUGAAUAUGAAAGGAAUACAUCAAAUCAGGAUGAUAGUUAUUUAUAAUUCGUUAUACUACUGUAUCAGAUAGAGAGUUUAUUCACUGUUUGUUCUUCAGGUUCAGUCCUGUACUAUUAUAUCUAAUACCUUUAAGUUCUUUACGAAGUACUUCAUAGAACCCCUGAAUCACUCGGAAAAAGAAUUCUGGAUUUUGCUUUACUUCACGACCAAAUUAAAUAUUUGUUUUUAAACAUACUGGAAGAACCAUUCACUAAAUGUUGAACUUAAGUAUUAAGAAAAAACUCAAAACAUUGUUAGAAAGACAAUGAUGCUUUUUUUCAUCUGCACUGUAACCAUAGCCUCCCCUCCCUUAUGAAUUGGUCAAAAUGCGCUAUGGAAAGCUAGGUUUACCAUUUAAAGGUGCGUGGACACGAUCUGAGCUGAAAAUUUAAAAAUUUUACUUUUCCAUUUUUCAUGUUUACAAUACUUAACUAAGGUAUUUCUAAUAGUCAGCAAAAUUUUGAAUGUCAGUUGUCGAGUUACAUGAGAGAUACAGAGCUAACAAUUUUUUGUUAUGUAAACAAUGCUAGUGUCAUGUUUGUGUUUACAUAGGUUAAAUAUACUAGUAAAAGUUUAGCUUAAAGCAGGGUGUUUUCUCUCCUGAAUUAAGAAGUUAAUUCUGAAUACAAACAGUUCCCCGUGUUAGUAACGUCUCGUUUUGUUUUAAAUUUGAUAUUUUGUAUUAAGCGAUCUAAAUGUGUACAAAACAUGACACAAAUUAUUAGUAGAACGUAUUUUUAUUUUAUUUUCUGUGAAAUCAGAAGAUAGACACCUACGCUUUAGGUUUUUCCUUGUAAUAAGUAUAACAUCGAAACGGAAGUAUGACAAAACCGCUUGUACGUUUAAUGUUAUCAGAAAUCUUUACACAUUUGGCAAAGUGUAGAAAUGUUUUAAGAUAUGUGGUAAGAAUAAAAUUAAACUCCAUGAUGGAGUAAACAACGUAUGCAUUUAGAGCUUUACCUGUCAUUUGCAACAUCUGAAUUUGUUGCAUGUUGUAGCUUGCAGGAAAACAAAACUUUUAGGUUAGUCAUCUGCGUUCUCUACCAAUUUAAUGUGUCGCAAUGGUCAAGUUUUGUUUUAGAAACUGUCGUGCUAUGUACACAAUAUUAUCUAUCAGUAUUGCGUUGUAUCUAACAUAUUCUGCAUUGCAAUGGUGGUUGAAAUUCUUUCAUACUAGAGACAGAGAACGAGAGCAGAGGACUGCUACUUGUCGAGUCGGAUUCUCCCGUCAACCUCCAUGCAGUCUAUCCCACUCGGUGAUAUGAUGUAUGCUCAACAAUAACACAACUAAAUUUCGCUUUCUCAUGCACUAUGUGAAAAACAUAUGCUCGUUAUAGUAAAUCUGUAGUAAAUGACAAGCAUGGUUAUUAAUUAUUUAAUUAUGAAUAAAUAAUUUGAUCUGAUUGUUUGAAAUAAAUUCAUACACUUCAAGCUGCGAAAUAAAGUGAUUUUAUUUUGUAAAAAUAACGGAAGUCGUAAAUAAUUCCAAUGGAAAUAAAGUAGGUGUUCAACAUUAUUUUCCAUUAUGUGCUUGGUAAUCAAAAGCAAUUUAUGAAAUAUUUUGUCGUGUUAAUCAUCUUCUGUUUCAGCGAAUCUUUUGACUUUGGGAGAUGUUUUUAUUCUGCCACUGGACGUUGUGAAUUGAACAACUUGAUAUAAAUCAUGUAAACUUUGUCAUAUAAUACAUGUAGAAGGAAAGAGACAAAUAUUUCUAUACGUUAAGGCUAAAAUUGAAAUGUUUGGUUUCCCUCAUCUGACCUCAUUCCAUCAAAACUUAGUAUUCGUCCCUUUUCCAAAACGUGUAUUCCUACACGACAGUUAAUUUUGAGAUUAAAUUAUUUAAUAUCUAUGCAAAAGCCAGUCGUAAAACUAUUCCAAAAUUAUAAAGGAAAAAUAAACUAUUGACAUUUCUGCCAAUAAAGCUAUUUGCACAAUAUUUUAAAGAAAAAAGAAAAGACGAAAUUGAAUUAAAUCCAUUGAGAAGUAUGCAUUUAUAAACUAACCUUUGAACCACCAGAGCAGUCUGUAGUCUAUCAUGACAUGACAUUUUUGUAGUUUCUUCAUUAUUCACGGAAAACUAAUUAGAGUGAAGUUUCCUCAUGAAUAAAAAAUCAUAAGAAACGAUAUUUACAUUACUAUGUACCCAUGACAUUGUAAUUCUUUUCAUGUUCAUGUAAUCUUAUAUCCAUGAAAAUCUGUUAAACUACCUUAUACGCAUUUGUUAAUGUUUUUUUCCCCAGGAAUCCACAGGUAUUGUAGAUUUGGUAAUAUUUCAUGAUAAUUUAGUUUCAUUGUUUCAUCAGCAUUCAAGUAGUAUAUUCCAGAAACGAUUUUACAUUUUCUGACUGCAAUAGUAAGACAUUUGUAAAUCAUAAAACAUUAUUGGUAAAUAAAGGGGGAAAUGCAUACUGAUCUGUGUUAAUAUUUAAAGGGGAACUAUCCAUAAAACUAUCAUUAACAAUAUCUUUAAGGUAGAAUGACACGUUCAAUAUGAAUGGUUGUAUGUUAUCAUCUUAAUUUUGUAUUUUGCAGGAAUGGUCUUAAGAGAGCUGGUCAGAGGCUACACGAUUGUUUUCUGCAUCAAUACGUUUACUUUCCUUGAAUUAACUUUAUAGCAUUUUGCUUACAAUUAAUUAACAAUGAUAUCAAUAUACUAAAUAACAAAUGUGAAUAAUUUUAAUCCUCACGACAGAAAAAGCUUCUCAUUAACAUGAACUCUAAACUGUUUGAUGGUUUAAAACUUUAUGAAAUUAUAAUUGAAUCAUCAGCUCUUUGGUACAGUGUAAUUAAUGUAAAAAUUAUAAUGGAAAAUCUCAUUAAUUUAUUUUUGAAUGUUAAUACUAGUAUCUCAUUUACUGAUUUAAUUCAAUGUUUUAUUUCAGAGUCCAUUCAAUAUUAUUAGUUGAUAUAAACACCUUUUAUUCUAUAUGAAAUACUUCGUUAGAUAACCAGUGAUUCACUCAGGAGACAAUUGUCUUGUUUUAUGUCCCAGUCCAGAAUGUUUUAGGUACGUAGAGACGUCACUGCCUUAAGGUUUAGUACAACAUUUUCUCGCCAGUGCAUGGCGCGUAGGGCCGUAACAGUGGGGUUCUGUAUCGUGCCAAAGCCUUCCAAAAUGUCUUCUACAGGGUCCGUCGCGAUAGUCUGGUGGUUAGCGCGCCCGCUAGAAGGCCCGGUUUCUAUUCUCUUUCCCUAAUGUGUUUAACAUAGGUUGUAACUGUUCCUUAGCCAAGCGGCAUGCAUGAGAAAUAAAAAUCAUGGAUCUUUUGAUUAUAACCUUGAAAAUGAAGUACAAUAUCUAGGUACAUGUAGGCUUUGGCACGAUACAGAACCCCACUGUUACGGCCCUACGCGCCAUGCACUGGUGAGAAAAUGUUGUACUAAACCUUAAGGCGGUGACCUCUCUACGUACGUCAAUGCAUUGUGAAUUGAAUAUGAUGUAAAAUUUAGAAUUUGUAUCAAACCAAGGAAACUGCUAAAGUAAGUAUUGAUAGAGAAAAAUGUCGUGUCAGGCUGUGGAUAAGGGCGGGUGUUGUGGAAAGCUUAUUUUGCCCUUCAGAUAAAUGUAAAGUUUUUUUUUCUUCAUUUAAGUUGAUAUUUAAGCACAGGAACGCACGCUUUGUGGAUGCGCUAACAGAGCACUUCUAACACGUACAACGCCUAAGCUGAAGUAUGCUAACCUCUUCAGUCAAUUUACUGUUACUAUAAUCUAAUUUCAUGGUAAAUAUUCACAACAUAUCAUAAAGAGCGUUUAUUGUAGCCUUAUGUAUGAUGUACUCUAAAAUGCUUGAAUUGAGAGUACAAUUAGUUUAGCUUUCAUAUAACUCUUAUGGGUUAGAUACUUGGGUUCACAACUAAUGCUUCAAGUUAAUAAAGUCAUCUCAUAUCAUUAUAACAAGCUCAUUUCUACUUUAUAUUGAAACGCGGAAA